AAAGGAGAAAGAAGGAGAAAAAAAGGAGGAAGGAGGGGAUGAAGUAAAGAAAUAAUGGAACAUACGGAAUGGGAUAAAAAAGAGCUAAAAUGGUAGGUAAAGAGGGUUGAAAAGAAGAGAGGUGGAGCUA
rnacentral:rRNA from 1 species